AAGGUUGUUCCAACAAGUCCGAUACAGUCACGAUAUAACAAUAUUGUUACAACCUUGUGUCGUCAACCUUGUAACAUUCUUGUUAUAUCAUGACUGUAUCAAACUUGUUAGAGUAAUCUU